AGAAAAUACUCCUUGAACACAAAAAUCUAGAUGCCCACGCAUGCCAUAUUUUAAUGUCCAGUGUCUUCAGAUAGUCCUUCUGGAUGGACACAGCCAAAUUCUCUUCUGCUAAUAAUUGAGUGACAUCUGAUGGACAAUGCAUCAACAUGC
rnacentral:lncRNA from 12 species